GGAUGUAGCUCAGCUGGUUAGAGCGCCGGUCUGUGGAACCGGAGGUCGCGGGUUCAAAUCUCGUCAU
rnacentral:tRNA from 1 species